rnacentral:other from 1 species
UAAAAGCUCAUCGAAAACAGAACCUGACUUGCAUAGACUAGGGAACUGUCCCUGGUGACGGUGUGAAGGCCCAGCUCGUACUGGGAAUCCUAAAGUCGCCACAUGGUUACCCACCUUAAUGCGCUGAGGUUUCUGUUUCAGAGUUGCCGGUCGGGCCUUUUU